rnacentral:rRNA from 1 species
GAUGAACGCUGGCGGCGUGCUUAACACAUGCCAGUCGAACGGAAAGGCCCAAGCUUGCUUGGGUACUCGAGUGGCGAACGGGUGAGUAACACGUGGGUGAUCUGCCCUGCACUUCGGGAUAAGCCUGGGAAACUGGGUCUAAUACCGGAUAGGACGAUGGUUUGGAUGCCAUUGUGGAAAGUUUUUUCGGUGUGGGAUGAGCUCGCGGCCUAUCAGCUUGUUGGUGGGGUAAUGGCCUACCAAGGCGUCGACGGGUAGCCGGCCUGAGAGGGUGUACGGCCACAGUGGGACUGAGAGACGGCCCAGACGCCUACGGGAGGCAGCAGUGGGGAAUAUUGCACAAUGGGCGCAAGCCGGAUGCAGCGACGCCGCGUGGGGGAGGACGGCCUUCGGGUUGUAAACUCCGUUCGCUAGGGACGAAGCGUUUUGUGACGGUACCUGGAGAAGAAGCACCGGCUAACUACGUG